rnacentral:misc_RNA from 1 species
CAACACUCAAGCUCUGCUUGGUCUUGAGCCCCGCCGGCAACGGCAGGCUUUAAAAUCAGUGGCGGCGCCACCUGGCUCUAAGCGUAGUAAUACACCCCGCUACAGAGUUCCCGGUGAAUGCUUGCCAGCAACCCCCAACUUUCUAA